AUGAACGCUGGCGGCGUGCCUAAUACAUGCAAGUCGAGCGAACAGACGAGGAGCUUGCUCCUCUGACGUUAGCGGCGGACGGGUGAGUAACACGUGGAUAACCUACCUAUAGACUGGGAUAACUUCGGGAAACCGGAGCUAAUACCGGAUAAUAUAUUGAACCGCAUGGUUCAAUAGUGAAAGACGGUUUUGCUGUCACUUAUAGAUGGAUCCGCGCCGCAUUAGCUAGUUGGUAAGGUAACGGCUUACCAAGGCAACGAUGCGUAGCCGACCUGAGAGGGUGAUCGGCCACACUGGAACUGAGACGCGGUCCAGACUCCUACGGGAGGCAGCAGUAGGGAAUCUUCCGCAAUGGGCGAAAGCCUGACGGAGCAACGCCGCGUGAGUGAUGAAGGUCUUCGGAUCGUAAAACUCUGUUAUUAGGGAAGAACAAAUGUGUAAGUAACUAUGCACGUCUUGACGGUACCUAAUCAGAAAGCCACGGCUAACUACGUG
rnacentral:rRNA from 1 species